GCAUUAAGGAACCAAACAAUAACUUGGAUGGACAAUCGCCAAGCAAUUCCUUCCAUAGAAAGAGAGAAAGUAUCUCCCCAGACACUCAACAAUAUGGUGAAUGCUUUUCAUCCAACUCGGAUGCAUCUUCCUUGCAAGGUUAUAAGCAUCUCAGAGGGAGACUGAAACGAGGCCUGUGAGGACAUUGAAUCCUUGGGCAAGAAGACAGUCAAUUGUGGCCAAAAGAGACAUGCCACCCUGAGAGCCGAAUGCACUAAUUGCUGUCAUGCAAUUGAUGGACUUUUCAUCUAUCUGCAGAUCCUUUACACUGAGGUAUGCUAAUGGUGAGUUCUGUGGAGAGAGGGAGAUUCAAGAUUUGAGAAACCGGCUGAUUCGAAAAAGACCAGCUCUGAAUACCGAUACCAAUAGCUGAGCAGAUGGCAAACUGAUUCUCAACAGAUUGGGCCUGAUAAAAUUUGAAUGGAUUUUGUCCAGAUGUAUGUAGAGACUCACAAAACUCAGUUUUGCUACGAAAGCAAGAUCGUUUGAAGACUCUCGUUAAACAGAAACAAAAAGGCUACAACGACAUCUUGCAUUCAUACAAUACCCUUCAUGCAGGUAGCUUCUCAGAUCGCUUAGACUAGAGACUGAGGGCGAGAGACUCCCAUUACCAAACAUUGUUACCUGUUAACUGAUAAAGAACAGCGACAAGCAGAAAGACCUAAGAUACAAAGAAGACACUCUAAAGGGACAAUUGCAGUCAAAGGGAGAGAUGACUCAAGGGGCUUUGCUAACUAAAGUGAGAGGUGAUCCAGAUAAGACUAUGCAGUAAAGACCUGAGAAAGCUACACCAAUGAUAAUAAAAGGUUAUAAUGUUUACAAGCUUUUAUGAGCCUAAUCGUAUCCAAUGUUAUAUGUUAACACUUGCAUCUUUUAUACAACUAUAGUGAAUAAAAGACAUUCUAUUUUGUGUCGUCAAAGUACUUGACUUUCUCUUAGUUAAUAAAGGGUUUAAUG